AAGGAAUGUAACUGUGUGAGAAAACAGGAACUCGGGAAGGGUCAGGAAGCAAUCAUGAUGAAUGAGGGGCCUGGAGUUUCUAGUCUGGAUGCAAUGAUCUGGCCCUAAGAUGUGGAACUGCCUGAAGUGAGCAAUCUGACCACCAGGGGGCAGCAUGAGUCCAUCGCUUUGUCUGAAAACAGACAGGUCCUAGUCAGCGGCCCUCCUCUC
rnacentral:lncRNA from 10 species